GCCCGGGUGGUGGAACAGGCAGACACAGAGGCCUUAAAAGCCUCCGGCCUUCGCGGCCAUGCGGGUUCGAGACCCGCUCCGGGCA
rnacentral:tRNA from 2 species